rnacentral:rRNA from 1 species
UGAGCAGCGACGCCGCGUGAGCGAGAAGUAUUUCGGUAUGUAAAGCUCUAUCUCAGGGAAGAAAUGACAGGCGUGACUAAAAUCGCCGGCUAGUACGAGCCCCGCGCCGCGAGAAUCUAGCCUAGCCGCCGCGGUAAU